UACGUACUGGGCGAACGUUAUUCGGAAUCACUGGGCUUAAAGGGUGCGUAGGCGGCCUUCCAGGUCCGGUGUGAAAUCUCACGGCUCAACCGUGAAAUGGCGCUGGAAACCGGAAGGCUUGAGUGUGCUAGGGGUGUGUGGAACUUCCAGUGGAGCGGUGAAAUGUGUUGAUAUUGGAAGGAACGCCGGUGGCGAAAGCGACACACUGGGGCACAACUGACGCUGAGGCACGAAAGCUAGGGUAGCGAACGGGAUUAGAUACCCCCGUAGUCC
rnacentral:rRNA from 1 species